rfam:Gorilla gorilla gorilla genomic chromosome, chr16, whole genome shotgun sequence
GCUGGGCAUGGUGGCGCAUGCCUGUAAUCCCAGCUACCCGGGAGGCUGAGGCAGGAGAAUCACUUGAAUCCAGGAGGUGUAGGCUGCAGUGAGCCGAGAUCACGCCACUGCACUCCAGCCUGGGCGACAAAGCAAGACUCGGUCUCAA